rnacentral:lncRNA from 1 species
AUAAUAUGCGGAACAGCGGGUGUUUGUGAACGUUGCCUUUAAAUCACGGUGGUUCAGUGAAGCGGUAGCUGCGAAUAUCAAACCAACUUCAGCCUCGUCAAUGCAAAAGAGGGAGAAUGUACUCACAUCUGGAAUUAUAAUUUCUUCACUUCCUGACUUUUAUUUUGACAGGUAGUGGGCAGAAAUGCCGCUACUGAGCGGAAGUACAGUUCUACGAUUUGAUUGGCUCCUCAGUGAAGCUCCGGGUUCUGAAGCUGCAGGUCUUUAGUUCAGAAACACUGUUUGAGUUUAAGGUGAACAUGGAGGUGUGCUGUAAGUUUCUCCUGAUCUGCAGUUAAGAGAAACAGCAGAAAAUCCAGCAGAUCCACAGAUCCUCUGUACUCAGACUGCCCUGCUGGAGGAACACCAUGAGCUCACCUGCUGCAGAUUUAAAAGCCACCUUGUUCUAAGUCUUCUCCUGCUUCCUUUGUUAACCAGCCAACGUAGUUGAAAUUUUGCUUCGUCAGUACACCCAACCAGAAGC